CGAACGGGUGAGUAAUACAUCGGAACGUGCCCAGUCGUGGGGGAUAACUACUCGAAAGAGUAGCUAAUACCGCAUACGAUCUGAGGAUGAAAGCGGGGGACCUUCGGGCCUCGCGCGAUUGGAGCGGCCGAUGGCAGAUUAGGUAGUUGGUGGGAUAAAAGCUUACCAAGCCGACGAUCUGUAGCUGGUCUGAGAGGACGACCAGCCACACUGGGACUGAGACACGGCCCAGACUCCUACGGGAGGCAGCAGGU
rnacentral:rRNA from 1 species